GGUUACCUUGUUACGACUUCACCCCAGUCAUGAAACACACCGUGGUAAACGCCCUCCCGAAGGUUAGACUAUCUACUUCUGGUGCAAUCCACUUCCAUGGUGUGACGGGCGGUGUGUACAAGACCCGAGAACGUAUUCACCGCGGCAUGCUGAUCCGCGAUUACUAGCGAUUCCGACUUCAUGGAGUCGAGUUGCAGACUCCAAUCCGGACUAGGACAAACUUUCUAGGGAUUAGCACCACCUCGCGGCUUAGCGUCCGUCUGUAUUCCCCAUUGUAGCACGUGUGUAGCCCUACUCGUAAGGGCCAUGAUGACUUGACGUCGUCCUCACCUUCCUCCGGUUUAUCACCGGCAGUCCCUUAUAGUCCCGACCGAAUCGCUGGCAAAUAAGGGUAAGGGUUGCGCUCGUUAUCCGACUUAACGGAACAUCUCAC
rnacentral:rRNA from 1 species